UUACGGUCAUAACACGUUGAAACCCCAGUUCCCGUACGAUCCCUGAAGUUAAGGAACGUCGAGGAUAGUCCACUACCUAGGUAGGUCACCGCUUGGGAAUAUCAGGUGUUGUAA